rnacentral:pre_miRNA from 1 species
AUAAACUGAUAUUUUAUUUUUUUACCUUUAAUUUGACCCUUCAUUUUAUUAAAAAAAUUUACGAUUAAUAUUUUUAGUUUUAUUAGAUGAUAGAUCAUGAGUAGUAUUUUACGUGUGACUAAUUUUAUUUUCAAUUUCUUAAAAAAUUUUCAAAUAAGAUGAACAGUCAAAUGCUGGACAUGAAAACCAAAAGUUUAUCUUAUU